rnacentral:lncRNA from 1 species
AAUGGGUCCACUAGUCAAAUGGGUCCCAGUGCAUGUAAUAGUUUAACUCAUGUUAACUAGCAGUAACCUUCACAAGACAGCCUCAAAGGAACCAUCAAGUCAACUCAUGUUUAUAGCUAAUAGCAGCAAGUGUAUGUAUUUGUUUAACUCAUGUUAACUAACAGUAACCUUCACAAGACAGCCUCAAACGAACCAUCAAGUCAACUCAUCAUACAACACAUUUACAGCUAACAGCAGCAAUACAUCAUACGUCACAGAGAACGGUUCACAGAAACCGACAAACUAAACUAGAGGCACAUCAUAAGCGCACAAGCAUGGCUGCCGCAGCAGUUUGUUUCGCUAGUAAAGACAGCGACUUUCUUCCUCGACCAGACAACAGCCCAGCUCACAUCCUCUACCUCCUCACAGGAGGCGCGCCACCUCGUCUCCUUCAACAGGGGGAUCACCACCACGUCCACCAGCAGCCUGCAUGAAGCAGAACAUGAAAAGAGCAACAUCUAAUUAACUUGAUUGCCUUGCAGAUGACACACAAGAUGAAGUGCACUUGGACAGAAGCUACAAUACUUGUGGCUGUAAUUAACCUAAUCUAAUCUAAUGGGAACAACAUCACAAUUCACAAGCAAGCACCCAUACUCUCGAAUUCAGUAUACAGUUGCCAACUGAAAUAAGUUCAGUUGAAAGCAGAGCAGAGAACAAGAAGGAUCAGCAGAGAGCUCACCAUGGAUGUCAUGUGGCCGACGUGGAAGAGGCAGCAUGUCCAUCCAAGCAGGAUCAGCAGCACCAGCGGACGGGCCACUCAUUGUCCUGGAUCUUUGCCUUGACAUUGUCAAUUCUGUCAGAGGACUCGACCUCAAAUGUGUGAUGGUCUUCCCGGUGAGAGUCUUCACAAAGACCUAUAUCUGAAUAGUUGAGAAACAGGACAGGUCAGGCAUAUAUGGACAAAUCAAGAAGGAAACAAGACAAGAACAUAAAUAAUAUAAAUCUUGCAAGUUGCAAGAGAUACGCAUAGUUGGAAAUUGCAAACAAAGCAAAAUAAAUCAACAUGGUAGAGGCGUAUACAAAUAAAUCUACAAAUUCAUGAAGCAAUGUGAAGUGGUCGAUCUAAAUGUAGCACAUUAAUUGUAAGUCUAACAUACAAAUGUAGUACUAUGUCAUUUCAUCAGAUACAGUUCUGUGGCUGAGGAUGUCACUGAAACUAAGCAGUACCCUCAAAUGAAAUAGUUCAAACUGCUUUGUCUAUAUGUCUUCUUAGAUCUCAUGCAUCACUACGAAAUACAGUAGUUUCAAAACAAGAUUCAGAUCAGAAUAUGUUUACACUGUUCAAGUAUACUAUAUGUUUACACUGUUCAAGUAUACUAUAUGUUUACACUGUUCAAGUAUACUAUAUGCACCAGAAUGUAAUCAGGUGCAUAUGUUGCCAGACAGAGAUGCCAUCUGUAUAUACCUGGAAUCAAUCACAAGGUAUAGGGAGGGAAUUAGUCACAUGUAUUCUUACUAUUACUGCUAGGUUGCUAGCUAGCUGC